GGAGAGGUGCCAGAGCGGUUGAUCGGACCGGUUUCGAAAACCGGCGUGGCCUUUAGUGGUCACCGGGGGUUCGAAUCCCCCCCUCUCCGCCA
rnacentral:tRNA from 1 species